AUGCAAGUCGAACGAAGGCUUCGGCCUUAGUGGCGCACGGGUGCGUAACGCGUGGGAAUCUGCCCUUGGGUUCGGAAUAACUCGCCGAAAGGCGUGCUAAUACCGGAUGAUGUCGAAAGACCAAAGAUUUAUCGCCUGAGGAUGAGCCCGCGUCGGAUUAGCUAGUUGGUGGGGUAAAGGCCUACCAAGGCGACGAUCCGUAGCUGGUCUGAGAGGAUGAUCAGCCACACUGGGACUGAGACACGGCCCAGACUCCUACGGGAGGCAGCAGUGGGGAAUAUUGGACAAUGGGCGAAAGCCUGAUCCAGCAAUGCCGCGUGAGUGAUGAAGGCCCUAGGGUUGUAAAGCUCUUUUACCCGGGAUGAUAAUGACAGUACCGGGAGAAUAAGCCCCGGCUAACUCCGUGCCAGCAGCCGCGGUAAUACGGAGGGGGCUAGCGUUGUUCGGAAUUACUGGGCGUAAAGCGCGCGUAGGCGGCUUUGUAAGUCAGAGGUGAAAGCCCGGAGCUCAACUUCGGAAUUGCCUUUGAGACUGCAUCGCUUGAAUCCGGGAGAGGUGAGUGGAAU
rnacentral:rRNA from 1 species